GACGAACGCUGGCGGCGUGCCUAAUACAUGCAAGUAGAACGCUGAAGGAGGAGCUUGCUUCUCUGGAUGAGUUGCGAACGGGUGAGUAACGCGUAGGUAACCUGCCUGGUAGCGGGGGAUAACUAUUGGAAACGAUAGCUAAUACCGCAUAAGAGUAAAUGUUGCAUGACAUUUGCUUAAAAGGUGCAAUUGCAUCACUACCAGAUGGACCUGCGUUGUAUUAGCUAGUUGGUGAGGUAACGGCUCACCAAGGCGACGAUACAUAGCCGACCUGAGAGGGUGAUCGGCCACACUGGGACUGAGACACGGCCCAGACUCCUACGGGAGGCAGCAGUAGGGAAUCUUCGGCAAUGGACGGAAGUCUGACCGAGCAACGCCGCGUGAGUGAAGAAGGUUUUCGGAUCGUAAAGCUCUGUUGUAAGAGAAGAACGAGUGUGAGAGUGGAAAGUUCACACUGUGACGGUAUCUUACCAGAAAGGGACGGCUAACUACGUG
rnacentral:rRNA from 1 species